AGCUGAAUUGCCGGGCAAAUCUCCCUUGGCAGGGAGCUUGCUAUUUUGCAUCAAUGAGCUGUGUCUCUUGCAGUUAAAAAGCUCCUGCCAGAGGAGUAUUGCUCAGCAAUGCAUUC
rnacentral:pre_miRNA from 1 species